GAAGUCGCUCGUUGACAAUCCAUCCUUCAGGGUAGACAUUGUGACUGAGUGAUCUAGGUUACAGAUUUCCAACAUAGCUCUGUUGAAUCGACCUACGUAAGAUUGAAUGGACUCGCCCUCCUUCUAUUUGAUGGUCUGGAGGCAGUCUGAGUGCUUCUGUUGUCAUCGACUAGUCAUGAAGUGGGCAGCAAAGACUUGGUUCAACUGCCAGAAAGAGUG
rnacentral:lncRNA from 1 species